UAAAUACUGCCACCGGGCAGAUAGAAUGCAAAAAGCAUUCGUCGGCGUAUCGUUAGGUCUUAGAAGAUACGUUUGGCGGAUGCUUAUUUUUU
rnacentral:ncRNA from 1 species